AUUACAUAGCAGAAAUUAGCACUGAGCAUUUCAGAUGCUUCAAAACGAGUUUGCAGUUAUGUAUUUUGGCAGAUCAAGGGGAGAUGUUUUCUUUCAAAUGGAUUAACUCAAAGAAGUAAUUUGUUUUUUACAAUAAGGGUGUUGAGGCAGUGGCACAGGUUGCCCAGAGUGGUGGUGGACGCCCCAUCCAUGCAGAAACCCGAGGUCAGGCUGGAUGGGGCUCUGAGCACCUGAUGGAGCUGUAGGUGUCCCUGUUCAUUGCAGGGGAGUUGGACCAGAUGGCCUUCAAGGGUCCCUUCCAACUCAAAAAAUCCUAUGAUUCUAUGAAGUGAGACGCAUCCUAUGCCUACAAGAGAGUCCAGAAUGUCAGUGCUGAUUAAAAUACACAAUCCAAUAUAUGCUAUUUUAGUAGGAAUAUAAUUACAUGAAGGAAAAUUCAUUUUAGUGUAUUUGAGGAAAUAUAUCCCACACUUUUGUCUCUCUGUUUCACUUUGGUUACUACACAGAGUUGCCAACACCCACAGAAAGGGCAUCAAGAAUUAGGUACUGAUUGUUCUGUGGUGGUCCAGUUAUUCACUCAAGGAAACCCAUACACUUCUUUCUCUAUGAACUUCAAAAAUUUUCGACAGCUCCCUUCAAGGGCGGUGUCCUGGUUUCAGCAAAAAAAAGCGUUAGGGGCACACCGAGCUUCGGUCGCUGCUGAGCGGCGAGGCCGCACCCUGCGUCAGGCUGGGCCGCUGGGCGGGGCGGAGCCGCCGCCAUGAUGGACAGCAGCGGGGCCGGGGCGGGGCCGGGACUGAGUCCGCAUUGGGCAGGGGCUGUUCCAUACCGCGUGACGUCAGGCGGACGCCAUAAGGCUGUGGGAACGGCAGUGCUUGAUCGGCAGUUGUGGAGGUUGUGGUGUCGCCGUAGCUGUAGCUUUGUUUAUUGUUGUGUAUUCGUUGGUGGACGGAACAGGGAGCGCCUGCGGAGGAUGGCGAGUGCCUGCAGAGCAAGGGAGCACCUGCGGAUGAUGGGAGUACCUGCAGAGAAGAAGGAGGGUUUGCGGAGGACACAGUGCCGUCGGAGAAUACAGGUAGUGCGCCGGCGGAGGUUAGAGGUAGUGCGCUGUCAGAAGAUAGAGGUGGAGCAUCUGUGGAGGAUGGGAGCACUGUCAGAAGACAGAGGUAGUGCGCCGGUAGAGGUUAGAGGUAGUGCACCAUUGGAGGAUAAAGGUGGAGGGUUUGCGGAGGACGGGAACACCUGAGGAGAUGGGGAGUGCCUGCAGAGGACAGGAACGUCGUCAGAGGAUAGUGGUUGUGCGCUGGCAAAGGUUAGAGGUAGUGUGCUAGCAGAGGAAAGAGGUGCAACAGCUGCGGGGGAUGGGAGAGCCAUCAGAAGAUAGAGGUAGUGCGCCAGCAGAGGUUAGAUGUAGUGCGACAUUGGAAGAUAGAGGUGGAGUGUCUGUGGAGAAUGAAAGCACCUGCAGAGAACAGGGAGCGCCAGCAGAGGAUGGGAGCACCGUCAGAAGAUAGAGGUAGCACGCCGGUGGAGGUUAGAUGUAGUGUGCCAUCAGAGAAUAGAGGUGGAGUACCUGCAGAGGACAGGGAGCACCUGUGGGGAACAGGGAGCGCUUGCAGAGGACAGGAGCACCGUCAGAAUAUAGAGGUAGUGCGCCAGCAGAGGUUAGAGGUAGUGCACCAUUGGAGGACAGAGGUGGAUGGUCUGUGGAGGACAGGAGCACCUGAAGAAAACAGGGAGCACCUACGGGGGACGGGAGCUCAGUCAGAAGACAAAGGUAGCACCAGCAGAGAUUAGAGGUAACACACCAGCAGAGGAUAAGAGGUAGCACGCCGGCAAAGGUUAGAGGUAGUGCACUGUCAGACGAUAGAGGUGUAACGUAUGCGGAGAAAAAGAGGACCUGCGGAGAACAAGGAGUGCCAGCAGAUGAUGGGAGCACAAUCAGAAGAUAGAGGUAGCUUGCCGGCAGAGGUUAGAGGUAGUGCACUGUUGGAGGAUCAAAGUAGUGGGUCUGCGGAGAACAGGAGAACCUGCGGAGAACAGGGAGUGACUGCAGAGGACGGGAACACCGGCAGAAAACAGAAUUAGUGCACCGGCAGAGGUUAGAUGUAGUGCGCUGUUGGAGGAUAGAGGUGGAAUGUCUGCGGAGGAAAAGAGCACCUGCAGGGAACUGGAAGUAAUUGCGGAGGACAGGAGUGCCGUCAUAAGACAGAUUUAGUGCACUGGCAGAGGUUAGAUGUAGUGUGCCAUCAGAAGAUAUAGGUGGAGCAUCUGCGGAGGACAGGAGCAUCUGCGGAGAACACAGACGGCCUGCAGAUGAUGGGAGUGUUGUCAGAAGAUAGAGGUAGUGCGCUGGCAGAGGUUAGAUGUAGUGCCCCAUCAGAGGAUCGAGGUGGAGGGUCUAGGGAGGAAGAGAUCACCUGCAGAGAACAUGGAGAGCCUGUGCAGGACGGGAGCGCUGUCGAAAGACAGAGUUAGUGAGCUGGCAGAGUUUAGAUGCAGUGUGCCAUCACGGGAUAGAGGUGAAGAGUCUGCGGAGGACGGGAGCACCUGUGAAGAACAAAGAGUGCCUGCAGAUGACGGGAGCGCGAACAGAAGAUAGAGGUAGCACACUGGCAGUGGUUACAGGUAGUGCGCUGUCACAGGAUCGAAGUGCAAGGUCUGGGGAGGAUGGGAAUAUCUGUGGAGAUCAAGGAGUGCCUGCAGAUGAUGGAAGCAUGAUCUGAAGAUAGAGGUAGCUUGCAGGCAGAGGUUAGAGGUAGUGUGCUGUUGGAGGAUUGAGGUGGAGGGUCUGCAGAGGACGGGAGCACCUGCGGCAAGCAGGGACUGACUGCGGAGAACGGGAGUGCUGUCAGAAGGAAUAGCUAGUGAACCGGCAGAGGUUAGAGGUAGUGUGCCUUGAGAGGAUAUAGGUGGAACAUCUGCCGAGAAUGGGAGCACGUGUAGAGAACACAGAGCGCCAGCAGAUGAUGGGAGCGUUGUAAGAAGAUAGAGGUAGUGCGCCAGCAGAGGUUAGAGGUAGUGUGCCAUCAGAGGAUCGAGGUGGAGGGUCUGGGGUGGAUGGGAGCACCUGCAGCCAACAGGGAGCACCUGUGGAGGACAGGAGUGCUGUCAGAAGGCAUAGUUAGUGCACCAGCAGAGGUUAGAGGUAGUGUGCCAUCAGAGGAUAUAGGUGGAGGGUCUGCGGAGUAUCGGACCACCUGAGGACAACAGGGAGCACCUGCGGAGGAUGGGAGCGCUGUCAGAAGACAUAGUUAGUGCGCCGGCAGAGGUUAGAGGUAGUGUGCCUUCAGAGGACAUAGGUAGAGCACCUGUGGAGGAUGGGGGUACCUGCAGAGAACACAGAACACCUGGAGAUGAUGGGAGCACUGUCGGAAUGCGUAGUUAGUGCACCAGCAGAGGUUAGAUGUAGUGCAUCAUCAGAGGAUAUAGGUGGAGCAUCGGCAGAGGACGGGAAAACCUACAGAGAUCAAGGAGUGCCUGCAGAUGACAGGAGUGUUGUCAGAAGACAGAGGUAGCGCGCCGGCAGAGGUUAGAGGUAGUGCGCUGUCGGAGAAUCGAGGUGGAGCGUCUGGGGAGGACGGGAGCAUUUGCGGAGAACAGGGAGCACGUGCGGAGGAUGGGAGUGCUGUCAGAAGGUAUAGUUAGUGCGCCAGCAGAGGUUAGAUGUAGUGCGCUGUCGGAGGAUCUAGGUGGAGCGUCUGGGGAGGACAGGAGCACCUGCGGGGAACAGAGACUGCUUGCAGAUGAUGGGAGCGUGGUUAGAAGAUAGAGGUAGUGCGCCAGCAGAGGUUAGAGACAGAGUGACAUCAGAGGAUCGAGGUGGAGAGUCUGCGGUGGAUGGGAGCACCUGCCACCAACAGGGAGCACCCGUGGAGGACAGGAGUGCUUUCAGAAGGCAUAGUUAGUGCGCUGGCAGAGGUUAGAUGUAGUGUGACUUCAGAGGAUGUAGAUGGAGCAUCUGUGGAGGACGGGAGCACCUGCAGAGAACACAGAGCGCUGGCAGAUGAUGGCAGCGUUGUCAGAAGAUAGAGGUAGUGCGCCAGCAGAGGUUAGAGGUAGUGUGCCAUCAGAGGAUAGAGGUAGAGCACCUGUGGAGGAUGGGGGUACCUGCAGAGGACACAGAACACCUGCAGAUGAUGGGAGCACUGUCGGAAUGCAUAGUUAGUGCACCAGCAGAGGUUAGAGGUACUGCGCUGUCAGAGGAUAGAGCUAGAACUUCUGCAGAGGAUAGGAGCACCUGCAGAGAAGAGGAAGCGAUUGCCAAGGAUGGGAGCACCAUCAGAAGACAGAGUUAGUGCGCUGGCCGAGGUUAGAUGUAGUGCAUCAUCAGAGGAUAUAGGUGGAGCAUCGGCAGAGGACGGGAACACCUACAGAGAUCAAGGAGUGCCUGCAGAUGACGGGAGUGUUGUCAGAAGAUAGAGGUAGUGUGCCGGCAGAGGUCAGAGGUAGUGCGCUGUCGGAGGAUCGAGGUGGAGCGUCUGGGGAGGACGGGAGCAUUUGUGGAGAACAGGGAGCAGCUGUGGAGGACAGGAGUGCUGUCAGAAGUCAGUUAGUGCGCCAGCAGAGGUUAGAUGUAGUGUGCCUUCAGAGGAUAUAGGUGGAGCAUCUGCGGAGGAUAGGAGCACCUGUGGAGAACAGGAAGCGAUUGCCAAGGACAGGAGCACCAUCAGAAGACAGAGUUAGUGCGCCGGCAGAGGUUAGAUGUAGUGCAUCAUCCGAGGACAGAUGUGGAGCGUCUGCAGAGGACAAGAGCAUCUGCGGAGAACAGUGACCGCUUGCAGAUGAUGGGAGCGUGGUUAGAAGAUAGAGGUUGUGCGCCAGUAGAGGUUAGAGGUAGUGUGCCAUCAGAGGAUCAAGGUGGAGGGUCUGCCUAGGAUCGGAGUACCUCAGGAGAACAGGGAGCACCUGUGGAGGACAGGAGCGCUGUUAGAAGACAUAGUUAGUGCGCCGGCAGAGGUUAGAUGUAGUGUGCCUUCAGAAAAUAGAGGUGGAGCAUCUGUGGAGCAUAGGAGCACCUGCGGAGAACAGGGAGCAUGUGCGGAGGACGGGAGCGCUGUCAGAAGGCUUAGUUAGUGCGCCGGCAGAGGUUAGAUGCAGUGUGCCUUCAGAGGAUAUAAGUGGAGCAUCUGCGGAGGAUAGGAGCAACUGCAGAGAGCACAGAGCGCCGGCAGAUGAUGGGAGCGUUGUCAGAAGAUAGAGGUAGUGCGCCGGCAGAGUUUAGAGGUAGUGCAUCAUCAGAGGAUAUACGUGAAGCGUCUGCGGAGGACAAGAGCAUCUGCGGAGAACAGAGACCACUUGCAGAUGAUGGGAGCGUGGUUAGGAGAUAGAGGUAGUGCGCCAGCAGAGGUUAGAGGCAUUGUGCCAUCAGAGGAUCGAGGUGGAGGGUCUGCGAAGGAUGGGAGCACCUGCAGCGAACAGGGAGCACCUGCGGAGGACAGGAGCGCUGUCAGAAGACAUAGUGCGCCGGCAGAGGUUAGAUGUAGUGCAUCAUCAGAGGAUCGAGUUGGAGCAUCUGCGGAGGACAAGACCAUCUGUGGAGAACAGAGACUGCUUACAGAUGAUGGGAGCGUGGUUAGAAGAUAUAGGUAUUGUGCCAGCAGAGGUUAGAGGUAGUGUGCCAUCAGAGGAUCAAGGUGGAGUGUCUGCGGAGGAUCGGAGUACCUCAUGAGAACAGGGAGCACCUGCGGAGGACAGGAGUGCUGUCAGCAGGCAUAGUUAGUGCGCCGGCAGAGGUUAGAUGUAGUGUGCCUUCAGAGGAUAGAUGUAAAGCACCUGUGGUUGAUGGGGUUACCUGCAGAGAACACAGAACAUCUGUAGAUGAUGGCAGCACUGUCAGAAUGCAUAGUUAGUGCCCCGGCAGAGGAUAGAGGUAGUGCACUCUCAGAGGAUAGAGCUGGAACUUCUGCGGAGGAUGGGAGCACCUGCGGAGAACAGGAAGCGAUUGCCAAGGACAGGAGCACCAUCAGAAGACAGAGUUAGUGCGCCGGCAGAGGUUACAUGUAGUGCAUCAUCAGAGGAUCGAGUUGGAGCGUUUGCGGAGGACGAGAGCAUCUGCGGAGAACAGAGACUGCUUGCAGAUGAUGGGAGCGUGGUUAGAAGAUAGAGGUAGUGCGCCGGCAGAGGUUAGAGGUAGUGUGCCAUCAGAGGAUCGAGGUGGAGGGUCUGCGGAGGAUCGUAGCACCUGCGGAGAACAGGGAGCACCUCUGGAGGACGGGAGCACUGUCAGAAGGCAUAGUUAGUGCGCCGGCAGAGGUUAGAUGUAGUGCAUCAUCAGAGGAUAAAGGUGGAGCAUCUGCAGAGGACAGGAGCACCUGUGGAGAACAAGGAGCGCCUGCAGAUGAUGGGUGCGCUGUCAGAAGAAAGAGGUAGCAUGCUGGCAGAGGUUAGAGGUAGUGCUCUGUCACUGGAUCGACGUUGAGGGUCUGCGGAGGAUGGGAGCACCUGUGGUGAACAGGGAGUGACUGUGGAGGACAGGAGCGCCGUCAGAAGACAGAAUUAGUGCGCCGGCAGAGGUUAUAUGUAGUGUGCCAUCACGGGAUAGAGGUGGAGCAUCUGCCGAGGACAGGAGCACCUGCGGAAAACAGGGAGCACCUGCAGAUGACGGGAGCACCAUCUGAAGAUAGAGGUCGUGCGCCGUCGGAGGUUAGCAGUAGCAUCCUGGCAGAGGAUAAGAGUUAGCGCGCUAUCGGAGGUUAGAGGUAGUGUGCUGUUCGUGGAUAGAGGUAGAAUGUCAGUGGUUGAAAGGAG
ensembl:lncRNA